GGGUAACAAAUAUGGAGAAUUGGGCGACUGUGCCAUAAAAGCAGGAAGCCCCGUGCGACAAGGAAGCACAGGGGGGACACCAAACCCAGUGGGAUACCUGCAGGGGCCUGCCCAACCUAGAUUCCAACCUCCAACAAAAAACCUGACCCCUAAGUCAGCAGGAAGGACAGGACCUUUGAGAGCCAGGGUUCCUUGGCUGUGCUGCCUGGCUUUUCUCUGACAGCCCUGACCAUGACGUAGAGAUGAUGGGGUUUAAAUUCGGUCAUUAAUCGCCGCCCCUGCUUCAACCUGGGACAGCCUCGAAGACCAACUUCAGGAUGUGGCUGCAGGGCAAGACAGCCCUGGCCUUCCCAGCUCUCCCUGAGCAGUUCUUUCUGCUGCCCCCAUCGAGCGAGCACCUCUGCAGGAACCAGGAAAAUAAGAUGAGAGACAGGAACCAACUGAGACUCAGAUCUGAUUCCGGCCCUCUGGCUGCAGAAUAGGGAAAAAGGACAUCAGGACUUCAGCCAAAAGAAGCUGAGUCUUCAUUUCCGGUUCUGCUAACUAACUGUCACUGAGCAACUUGUUUAACCUCCCAAGUCUCAGGUUUAUUUUUAAAAUAAAGGAGUAAACACCACACAAGAUUGUCACAAGGACUAAAAAGUACAAUGGGUGCACAAGUAUCUGACAUGGGCAGCAUCUCUGGGUGUGUGUUUGGAUAUUUUUCUGCUCGCUCUUCCUCACCACCUCCACAGCACAGAACCAUCUGUCAGCCCUUUCGUUGUCCAGCAUCCAUGGGAAGAUUAAGGUAUGGGGAAAACACAAACAGUGUGGGAGUCCUCAGCUCCUGCUCCUCCUGUGAAAGCUAUCUCCCUCCACACCCAUUCCUGCUCAGCCAGCUGCAGCGUCACCCUGCUCCCUCCUCCAGGUCCUGAGUUUCUCCUCCUUACAAGGCCCCAGGAGAUUCACCCAGCUCUGUAAGCAGCAGCCACAGUCAUCUCUCUGGAAAGAUGCCCAUGUUGUCCACUGCCCCCAGGCAUGCCCAUGCAGAUAUGGACACAGAAGGCAAGGAACCAGGCAGGCCCAGGGCUAAGGACCCCCUGGGUGUUCGGUGGCUCAGAAAUGCCAUGGACAGGCUGUCUACUCAGUCCUGACAGGGGCUAGAGUAACUAACACCUACUGGGUGGAAACUCCACAGACUCUGAUGACCUCCACAGACCUGGUGCCACCUGCUCA